CUUUGCCUGUCCGAGAUCUAGUAAACUUCUUGGCAUGCAACUGGGCUUGAUCAAAUAGAAUUUCCUCACCUCUCUUUCCGGUUGAAGCCCUCAGGAAAACUCACCUUUUUGGUUGGUCUGUGGAUCUUGUGAGGUUGGUGGUUGCUACAAGGUUGCAUUGAGGCCAAGUACUGUAAGAGAAAGCUCAGAUUCCAGUUUGUUUUGCAGGUUGUUGCUGUCGAAGCUUGGGUACGGAGGAUUAUAUUUGGAGGCCACAAAUUGUUUUAUCUAAAGUUUAUUUUUCUCUUUAUUUGACAUAUUUGAUCUCAUUAA